rnacentral:rRNA from 1 species
CUACGGGGCGCACCAGUCGAGAAUCUUCCGCAAUGGGCGAAAGCCUGAUGGAGCGACGCCGCGUGGUUGAUGAAGUCCCUCGGGACGUAAAAACCUUUUAUGCAUGAAGAAUUUUUUGACAUUAGUGCAUGAAUAAGGGGCUGCUAACUCUGUGCCAGCAGCAGCGGUAAUACAGAGGCCCCAAGCGUUAUCCGGAAUCACUGGGCGUAAAGGGUGUGUAGGUGGUUGUGUUAGUCUUCCGUCAAAGCCUCCGGCUCAACCGGAGAUCUGCGGGAGAAACGGCACAGCUAGAGGAUGCGAGAGGUGUGUGGAACUUAUGGAGUAGGGGUGAAAUCCGUUGAUACCAUAGGGAACACCAAAAGCGAAGGCAGCACACUGGCGCAUUCCUGACACUGAGACACGAAAGCGUAGGUAGCGAAUGGGAUUAGAUACCCUGGUAGUC